rnacentral:rRNA from 1 species
CCUACGGGAGGCAGCAGUGAGGAAUAUUGGUCAAUGGGCGCGAGCCUGAACCAGCCAAGUAGCGUGAAGGAUGAAUGCCCUAUGGGUUGUAAACUUCUUUUAUAUGGGAAUAAAAUGUUCCACGUGUGGGAUUUUAUAUGUACCAUAUGAAUAAGGAUCGGCUAACUCCGUGCCAGCAGCCGCGGUAAUACGGUGGAUCCGAGCGUUAUCCGGAUUUAUUGGGUUUAAAGGGAGCGUAGGUGGAUUGUUAAGUUAGUUGUGAAAGUUUGCGGCUCAACCGUAAAAUUGCAGUUGAAACUGGCAGUCUUGAGUACAGUAGAGGUGGGCGGAAUUCGUGGUGUAGCGGUGAAAUGCUUAGAUAUCACGAAGAACUCCGAUUGCGAAGGCAGCUCACUGGACUGCAACUGACACUGAGGCUCGAAAGUGUGGGUAUCAAACAGGAUUAGAUACCCCAGUAGUC